rnacentral:tRNA from 1 species
GAGGGUAUAGCUCAGGGGUAGAACAUAUGCUUAGGAUGCACAAGGUCCUGGGUUCAAUCCCCCGUACCUCCA